rnacentral:rRNA from 1 species
GAUGAACGCUAGCGAUAGGCUUAACACAUGCAAGUCGAGGGGCAGCAUGGUCUUAGCUUGCUAAGGCUGAUGGCGACCGGCGCACGGGUGCGUAACGCGUAUGCAACUUGCCUCACAGAGGGGGAUAACCCGUCGAAAGACGGACUAAUACCGCGUACACCCUAUGUUGGGCAUCCAAUGUAGAGGAAAUGAAAUUCGCUGUGAGAUAGGCAUGCGUCCCAUUAGCUAGUUGGUGAGGUAACGGCUCACCAAGGCGACGAUGGGUAGGGGAACUGAGAGGUUGAACCCCCACACUGGUACUGAGACACGGACCAGACUCCUACGGGAGGCAGCAGUGAGGAAUAUUGGUCAAUGGGCGAGAGCCUGAACCAGCCAAGUCGCGUGAAGGAUGACUGUCUUAUGGAUUGUAAACUUCUUUUAUACGGGAAUAACAAGAGUCACGUGUGGCUCCCUGCAUGUACCGUAUGAAUAAGCAUCGGCUAACUCCGUG